rnacentral:lncRNA from 1 species
CCUAGUUGGCCAUAGAUCUGAUGAUGGAAGUGUUUGAUUUCACAAGUUGAGAGAGGAGGAUCUUGAAAACUAAAAGAAAGAUAUGGUUGCAGGAAGAAGAGUUGGAAGAAGGAGAUAGCUAUGAAAGAUAGAAAGGAUAGUCUAUAAGGAGGAAAGAGAUAGCUAUGAGAGAUGGAAAAGGUGGGCUAUAAGGAAUAAGCAAAAUGCACCUUACAAAGGUAUAUUCAAAAAGGAUUUCAAUUGAUUGCAAGAUCUUGGAGAUGGUGAGAUUGCAUGUGUCACUUGUAGUAGCCU